AGAGUUUGAUCAUGGCUCAGGACGAACGCUGGCGGCGUGCCUAACACAUGCAAGUCGAGCGGAGACAGUGAGUAGCUUGCUAUGAGCUGUUUUAGCGGCGGACGGGUGAGUAACGCGUGAGCAACCUUUCCCAGACAGGGGAAUAACACACCGAAAGGUGUACUAAUACCGCAUAAGACCACGGGAUCACAUGGUUCUGGGGUAAAAGAUUUAUCGGUUUGGGGUGGGCUCGCGUCCGAUUAGGUAGUUGGUCGAGG
rnacentral:rRNA from 1 species